rnacentral:rRNA from 1 species
AGAGUUUGAUCCUGGCUCAGAACGAACGCUGGCGGCGUGGAUAAGACAUGCAAGUCGAACGAGAGAAUUGCUAGCUUGCUAAUAAUUCUCUAGUGGCGCACGGGUGAGUAACACGUGAGUAACCUGCCCCCAAGAGUGGGAUAGCCCCGGGAAACUGGGAUUAAUACCGCAUAAAAUCGCAAGAUUAAAGCAGCAAUGCGCUUGGGGAUGGGCUCGCGUCCUAUUAGUUAGUUGGUGAGGUAACGGCUCACCAAGGCGAUGACGGGUAGCCGGUCUGAGAGGAUGUCCGGCCACACUGGAACUGAGACACGGUCCAGACACCUACGGGUGGCAGCAGUCGAGAAUCAUUCACAAUGGGGGAAACCCUGAUGGUGCGACGCCGCGUGGGGAAAUGAAGGUCUUCGGAUUGUAAACCCCUGUCAUGUGGGAGCAAAUUAAAAAGAUAGUACCGCAAGAGGAAGAGACGGCUAACUCUGUGCCAGCAGCCGCGGUAAUACAGAGGUCUCAAGCGUUGUUCGGAAUCACUGGGCGUAAAGCGUGCGUAGGCGGUUUCGUAAGUCGUGUGUGAAAGGCGGGGGCUCAACCCCCGGACUGCACAUGAUACUGCGAGGCUAGAGUAAUGGAGGGGGAACCGGAAUUCUCGGUGUAGCAGUGAAAUGCGUAGAUAUCGAGAGGAACACUCGUGGCGAAGGCGGGUUCCUGGACAUUAACUGACGCUGAGGCACGAAGGCAGGGGAGCGAAAGGGAUUAGAUACCCCUGUAGUCCUGGCAGUAAACGGUGCAAGCUUGGUGUGCGGGGAAUCCACCCCCUGCGUGCCGGAGAUAACGCGUUAAGCGUGCCGCCUGGGGAGGACGGUCGCAAGAUUAAAACUCAAAGAAAUUGACGGGGACCCGCACAAGCGGUGGAGUAUGUGGCUUAAUUCGAAGCAACGCGAAGAACCUUACCAGGGCUUGACAUAUGGGUGAAGCGGGGGAGACCCCGUGGCCGAGAGGAGCCCAUACAGGUGGUGCAUGGCUGUUGUCAGCUCGUGUUGUGAGAUGUUGGGUUAAGUCCCGCAACGAGCGCAACCCCCGCCGCGUGUUGCCAUCGGGUGAUGCCGGGAACCCACGCGGGACCGCCGCCGUCAAGGCGGAGGAGGGCGGGGACGACGUCAAGUCAUCAUGCCCCUUAUGCCCUGGGCUGCACACGUGCUACAAUGGCCGGUACAGAGGGAUGCCACCCCGCGAGGGGGAGCGGAUCCCGGAGAGCCGGCCCCAGUUUGGACUGUAGGCUGCAACCCGCCUACACGAAGCCGGAAUCGCUAGUAAUGGCGCAUCAGGUACGGCGCCGUGAAUACGUUCCCGGGUCUUGCACACACCGCCCGUCA